AAGCAGUACCGAUAAGGAGCUGUGGACUGUAUAGAAGAGAGAAUGCCGGAAUGAGUAGCGAGAGGAAGGUGAGAAUCCUUCCGGCCGAAUAUCUAAGGUUUCCAGAGUAAAGCUGAUCUGCUCUGGGUAAGUCGGGGCCUAAGGCGAGGUCGAAAGACGUAGUCGAUGGAUAACAGGUAAAGAUUCCUGUACUAUAUCAUAACAGAACUGUGGGGACGCAGACAGAGAGCAUAAGCCGGGAAUGGAAAAACCGGUACAAGCGAGGUAGGAGUGCAUCAGGCAAAUCCGGUGCACAAUCUGAAGACGUGAUGUGGGGCGUAAAGCCGGAAGUAUGUGAGCUGGCUGCCAAGAAAAGCCGCUAUUGUUUAUGAUAUACCCGUACCGUAAACCGACACAGGUGGAUGAGGAGAGAAUCCUAAGGCCGACGGGAGAAGCAUUGUUAAGGAACUCGGCAAAAUGACUCCGUAACUUCGGGAGAAGGAGUGCCAUGUAAAAGUGGCCGCAGAGAAUUGGCCCAAGCAACUGUUUAGCAAAAACACAGGUCUAUGCAAAACCGAAAGGUGAGGUAUAUGGGCUGACGCCUGCCCGGUGCUGGAAGGUUAAGGGGAGAGGUUAGCGCAAGCGAAGCUUUGAACUUAAGCCCCAGUAAACGGCGGCCGUAACUAUAACGGUCCUAAGGUAGCGAAAUUCCUUGUCGGGUAAGUUCCGACCCGCACGAAAGGCGUAAUGAUUUGAGCGCUGUCUCGACAAUGCAUCCGGUGAAAUUGAAGUACCAGUGAAGAUGCUGGUUACCUGCGCCAGGACGGAAAGACCCCAUGGAGCUUUACUCCAGCUUGAUACUGGGAUUCGAUAUUGCAUGUACAGGAUAGGUGGGAGACUGAGAACUGAUGACGCCAGUUGUCAGGGAGUCACUGUUGGGAUACCACCCUUGUAGUAUUGGAUUUCUAACCAGCAGCCGUGAACCGGCUGGGGGACAAUGUCAGGUGGGGAGUUUGACUGGGGCGGUCGCCUCCGAAAGGGUAUCGGAGGCGCUCAAAGGUUCCCUCAGAAUGGUUGGAAACCAUUCGAAGAGUGCAAAGGCAGAAGGGAGCUUGACUGCGACACCGACGGGUGGAGCAGGUACGAAAGUAGGACUUAGUGAUCCGGUGGUAUUAAGUGGGAAUGCCAUCGCUCAACGGAUAAAAGCUACCCUGGGGAUAACAGGCUUAUCACUCCCAAGAGUUCACAUCGACGGAGUGGUUUGGCACCUCGAUGUCGGCUCAUCGCAUCCUGGGGCUGAAGUAGGUCCCAAGGGUUGGGCUGUUCGCCCAUUAAAGCGGUACGCGAGCUGGGUUCAGAACGUCGUGAGACAGUUCGGUCCCUAUCCGGCGUGGGCGUAGGAUAUCUGAGAGGAGCUGUCCUUAGUACGAGAGGACCGGGAUGGACGGACCGCUGGUGUACCUGUUGCAGUGCCAGCUGCAUGGCAGGGUAGCCAAGUCCGGAAGGGAUAAACGCUGAAGGCAUCUAAGCGUGAAGCCCCCCUCAAGAUGAGAUAUCCCUCCUUCGGGAGUAAGACCCCUUGAAGACUACAAGGUAGAUAGGGCAGAGGUGGAAGCAUGGCAACAUGUGGAGCUGACUGUUACUAAUAGGUCGAGGGCUUAAUCU
rnacentral:rRNA from 1 species